GGCGGCAUGGCCAAGUGGUAAGGCGGGGGACUGCAAAUUCUUUAUCCCCAGUUCGAAUCUGGGUGUCGCCUGAUCAACAA
rnacentral:tRNA from 2 species